ensembl:lncRNA
ACCGCUUUGCUAGCUAAAACACUAGCACAUAUUUACUUUAAUUUCAAUUCAGGUUAGAAUUCUUUUUGUGUGCGUAACACAGACUUUCUCUGCGCAGAGAUCGUGCAAACAGUGCGCAAUUGCACACGUGCGCAGCUUAGAGGGAACAUUGGUCAAGACCCUAAAAAUAGUGAAUAUUGAGAUAGUUGCGGAUUUGUUCCCUGCACUUGUUAUUUUCCAUAUAAAAGUAUUUAAUUUGUCACCAGAAGAAAACAUUUGGGAAGAUAGGCAAUUAAACUGCAUUUUCUAUUUAGUGAAAAAAUGGUUCCAUAAGGACAGAACAAGGGAACAACAACUUAAUUUCCCAUUGCUGAAUAAGAGUGAGAUAAGGCGAUGACCUACAGAAACAUGGAAUUGUUAGAGUUGGUAUACAUUUAGCUGUUGAAGGGGGAAAAUAAAUCAAUGUCACUUUUUUGUUUAUUUUUUGUUUUUGCUUUUUUCUUUUUUUUACUUAGUGUAUAGUUGUAUAAUAACUGAUUUUAAUUCCUAUAAAUUAGCUUGCCCAGGUUUGAAACAUCUCUUUCACAUAACACUUCAUAUUUGUCUUCUGCUAUCUGUAAAGAGCUGGUGUCAACCAGUUUUUGUUUACUACUGUAGAUUUAUUGGCUUAAUGCACAACUUGAUUUUUAAUGACAGUACGUGGAAAAAUGUAGGUAAUAUUUCAUAACUGAUGUAAACAAAUGAUCAGUUAUUACUUUAAGUAUUACUUAUGAUAUGUAAGUAUUUGAAAGGUAACCCAUCAGAAAGUGGUCAAAAUGAAAACACCUUCUCAGUCCCAGCUUAAAAACAAUAUAACUGUCAGACCAAGCUUUGAAUAACAACAGGUUUCAAACAUGAGUCAAGCAUGGCUUUCUACUAACAUACAAUGUAUAAAACUGUUAACUUUGGAACUUGAAAAUCUAUUGUGUUCUUAUGUGUUCUGCUCUCAAACAGAAAUAGUGUGUGGUAUGAAAUUCCUUGCUUAACUGAAAUCGUCAUUGCAAAUUGCAUGUUGGCCAAAUAUAGAAAAAUGUAGAAGAAUAUACAAUGUAGUCUGGUGGAAUGGCCAGGAAUCCUCUAUAAAUCUGUAGUUUGAUGGGGUUUUUUAAUGAGGGAUAGUGACCUGUAACCAUCGGGAGCUACUACACUGCAUUGUUUUAUCUGAAGAGACAAUAUUAUGUUCCUGAAAUAUCUG